rnacentral:rRNA from 1 species
AAUUACUAAUUAUUAUAUAUCUACUUUUUUUCACUAAUUCUUUUGAGGAUAAGCUCAAAGAGAAAGUUAAGAUAUUUAUGAUUAUAAGCCGCUGUGUGGGCUUAAAAUUGGCCACCACAAAAAGUUUGUUAUAAAAUAACGGUUUCAACUCAAAAAAUAAAUAUAUUUUAAUCUAACUUCUUACGGAAAUAAAAUCUUUAACUAAAGCAAGUUUUAUACCUAUGCUAGGAUGAGUAUUAUAAACUAAUAUUAAACAUGAAAAUAUUUUCUUCAAUAAAGAUUAUUCAAACAAACUAAUUAAUCAAAAGGAACUCGGCAAAAUUAGUUGCUUCGCCUGUUUAUCAAAAACAUGGCUCUCUGCUUAUGUAAAUAUAGAGAGUCGAGCCUGCCCAGUGAAUUUUCAACGGCCGCGGUACUCUGACCGUGCAAAGGUAGCAUAAUCAUUUGCCUUAUAAUUGAAGGCUAGUAUGAAUGGUUUGACGAGAGCAACGCUGUCUCUUUUUUAUUUUCAAGAACUUAACUUUUAGGUGAAGAGGCCUAAAUUUUAUUGAAGGACAAGAAGACCCUGUCGAGCUUAAAAGAUAUUAUAGAAGUGUAUAUAUUUUUAAAUAAAUUUUCUAUUCAGCUUUUUAGUUGGGGCGACUAAGGAACAAAAAAAGCUUCUUAUCAAUAAUAAACACUCAUGUUUAGAUCCGGUAAUAAUCGAUCAAAGGAAUUAGUUACCGCAGGGAUAACAGCAUAAUCUCUCUUGAGAGACCUAAUCGAAAGAGGGGGUUGUGACCUCGAUGUUGGACUAGAA